rnacentral:rRNA from 1 species
AUCCUGGCUCAGGAUGAACGCUAGCGGCAGGCUUAACACAUGCAAGUCGAGGGGCAGCGCGUUGUAGCAAUACGAUGGCGGCGACCGGCGAAAGGGUGCGUAACGCGUGAGCAACCUGCCCGUAUCCGGGACAUAAGCGGUGGAAACGCCGUCUAAUUUCCCAUAACAACGAGGGCCGCAUGGUCCAUGUUUGAAAGAUGCGUCGGAUACGGAUGGGCUCGCGAGACAUUAGCUAGUCGGCGUGGUAACGGCACACCGAGGCGACGAUGUCUAGGGGUUCUGAGAGGAAGGUCCCCCACACUGGCACUGAGACACGGGCCAGACUCCUACGGGAGGCAGCAGUGAGGAAUAUUGGUCAAUGGCCGAGAGGCUGAACCAGCCAAGUAGCGUGCAGGACGACGGCCCUACGGGUUGUAAACUGCUUUUGCGGGAGGAUAAAGUGCGCCACGCGUGGCGCUUUGCAGGUAUCCCGUGAAUAAGGACCGGCUAAUUCCGUGCC